rnacentral:rRNA from 1 species
GAUGAACGCUGGCGGCGUGCCUAAUACAUGCAAGUCGAGCGAAUGGAUUAAGAGCUUGCUCUUAUGAAGUUAGCGGCGGACGGGUGAGUAACACGUGGGUAACCUGCCCAUAAGACUGGGAUAACUCCGGGAAACCGGGGCUAAUACCGGAUAACAUUUUGAACCGCAUGGUUCGAAAUUGAAAGGCGGCUUCGGCUGUCACUUAUGGAUGGACCCGCGUCGCAUUAGCUAGUUGGUGAGGUAACGGCUCACCAAGGCAACGAUGCGUAGCCGACCUGAGAGGCUGAUCGGCCACACUGGGACUGAGACACGGCCCAGACUCCUACGGGAGGCAGCAGUAGGGAAUCUUCCGCAAUGGACGAAAGUUUGACGGAGCAACGCCGCGUGAGUGAUGAAGGCUUUCGGGUCGUAAAACUCUGUUGUUAGGGAAGAACAAGUGCUAGUUGAAUAAGCUGGCACCUUGACGGUACCUAACCAGAAAGCCACGGCUAACUACGUGCCAGCAGCCGCGGUAA